rnacentral:rRNA from 1 species
GACGAACGCUGGCGGCGUGCUUAACACAUGCAAGUCGAACGAAGUGGCGAACGGGUGAGUAACGCGUAAUCAACCUGCCCUUCAGAGGGGGACAACAGUUGGAAACGACUGCUCAUACCGCAUACUGAAGGAGGGGAUUGCGUCUGAUGAGCUAGUUGGAGGGGUAACGGCCGACCAAGGCGAGGAUCAGUCGCAGUUCUGAGAGGAUGAAAGGCAACAUUGGGACUGAGACAAGGCCAAGACUCCUACGGGAGGCAGCAGUGGGGAAUCUUCCGCAAUGGACGAAAGUCUGACGGAGCAACGCCGCGUGAGUGAUGACGGCCUUCGGGUGGUAAAGCUCUGUUAAUCGGGACGCGGUACCGGAAUAGAAAGCCACGGCUAACUACGUGCCAGCAGCCGCGGUAAUAC